rnacentral:rRNA from 1 species
GGCGAGUGAAGCGGCAACAGCUCAAAUUUGAAAGCUAGCCUUCGGGUUCGCAUUGUAAUUUGUAGAGGAUGAUUUGGGGAAGCCGCCUGUCUAAGUUCCUUGGAACAGGACGUCAUAGAGGGUGAGAAUCCCGUAUGUGACAGGAAAUGGCACCCUAUGUAAAUCUCCUUCGACGAGUCGAGUUGUUUGGGAAUGCAGCUCUAAAUGGGAGGUAAAUUUCUUCUAAAGCUAAAUAUUGGCGAGAGACCGAUAGCGCACAAGUAGAGUGAUCGAAAGAUGAAAAGCACUUUGGAAAGAGAGUUAAAAAGCACGUGAAAUUGUUGAAAGGGAAGCGCUUGCAAUCAGACUUGUUUAAACUGUUCGGCCGGUCUUCUGACCGGUUUACUCAGUUUGGACAGGCCAGCAUCAGUUUCGGCGGCCGGAUAAAGGCUCUGGGAAUGUGGCCUCCACUUCGGUGGAGGUGUUAUAGCCCAGGGUGUAAUACGGCCAGCCGGGACUGAGGUCCGCGCUUCGGCUAGGAUGCUGGC